AUUGAACGCUGGCGGCAGGCCUAACACAUGCAAGUCGAGCGAGCGGCGGACGGGUGAGUAAUGUAUGGGGACUGCCCGAUAGAGGGGGUUAACUACUGGAAACGGUGGUUAAUACCGCAUACUAUCGGAUAACCCAUAUGGGAUUAGCUAGUAGGUGGGGUAAAGGCUCACCUAGGCGACGAUCUCUAGCUGGUCUGCGAGGAUGAUCAGCCGCACGGGAACUGAGACACGGCCCGGAGUCCUACGGAGGCAGCAGUGGGGAAUAUGGCGCAAUGGGCGAAAGCCUGAUGCAGCAAUGCCGCGUGUGUGAAGAAGGCCUUAGGGUUGUAAAGUGCUUUCAGCGGGGAGGCGUUACCCGCAGAAAAAGCAACGGCUAACUCCAUGCCAGCAGCCGCGGUAAUUC
rnacentral:rRNA from 1 species